CUGCUGCCUCCCGUAGGAGUCUGGGCCGUGUCUCAGUCCCAGUGUGGGGGCCUUCCUCUCAGAACCCCUACGCAUCGUCGCCACGGUGGGCCGUCACCCCGCCGUCUAGCUAAUGCGCCGCAUGCCCAUCCGCCACCGGAUCGCUCCUUUGGCCACCGGAGGAUGCCCUCCGGUGGCGUCACGGGGUAUUAGGCCGCGUUUCCGCGGGUUAUCCCCCUGUGGCGGCCAGGUUGCAUACGUGUUACUCACCCGUGCGCCGGUCGCCGGG
rnacentral:rRNA from 1 species